AAGCUGAAUGAGUUCUGUAGC
rnacentral:siRNA from 1 species